rnacentral:rRNA from 1 species
AACGAACGCUGGCGGCAGGCCUAAUACAUGCAAGUCGAACGAACCUUCGGGUUAGUGGCGCACGGGUGCGUAACGCGUGGGAAUGUACACCUUGGUAAGGAAUAACUGCUGGAAACGGUAGCUAAUGCCUUAUAAUGACUCCGGUCCAAAGAUUUAUCGCCAAGGAAUCAGCCCGCGUUAGAUUAGCUAGUUGGUGAGGUAAUGGCUCACCAAGGCGACGAUCUAUAGGGGGUCCGAGAGGAUGAUCCCCCACACUGGAACUGAGACACGGUCCAGACUCCUACGGGAGGCAGCAGUAAGGAAUAUUGGACAAUGGGGGCAACCCUGAUCCAGCCAUGCCGCGUGUGUGAAGAAGGCCUUAGGGUUGUAAAGCACUUUCAAACGUGAAGAUAAUGACGGUAGCGUUAGAAGAAGCUCCGGCUAAAUUCGUGCCAGCAGCCGCGGUAA